GACGAACCGUGCGAACGUUGUUCGGAUUCACUGGGCUUAAAGGGCGCGUAGGCGGACGGUCAAGUCAGGGGUGAAAUCUUUCAGCUCAACUGGAAAAGUGCCUUUGAUACUGAUCGUCUUGAGGGAGGUAGGGGCAUGUGGAACUUCCGGUGGAGCGGUGAAAUGCGUAGAUAUCGGAAGGAACGCCGGUGGCGAAAGCGACGUGCUGGACCUCUUCUGACGCUGAGGCGCGAAAGCUAGGGGAGCAAACGGG
rnacentral:rRNA from 1 species